rnacentral:misc_RNA from 1 species
UGGCGGCUCAACGAGCGGCACUACGGCGCGCUGCAGGGCCUCAAUAAAGCCGAGACCGCGGCCAAACACGGCGAGGCGAUGGUGAAAAUCUGGCGGAGGAGCUAUAGCACCCCGCCUCCGCCGCUUCCCGAGAGCGACCCGCGGCGUCCGUCUGCAGACAGGCGCUAUACCGACCUUCCCGCCGAGGCGCUUCCGGCCACUGAAUCGCUCAAGGACACGGUCGCCCGCGUGUUGCCGUACUGGCAGGAAGCAGUCGCUCCGUCGGUCCGCGGAGGAAAGCGCGUCCUCAUCGUGGCACACGGCAACAGCCUUCGUGCGCUCGUCAAACACCUCGACG